GUCCCGGCAGGGAUAAAUGUGCUCCUGCCCUUGUGCAGCCUCAGCCAGCGCUGCCCAGGCCCAGAGGAAGAUGAAGGUCGCUGUGCUCAGCGUGGCCCUGCUCUUCACCAUCCUGCUGAGCCCCCCGGCAGAUGCCAAGGCACUCUUGGCAGGAACCCAAAAUGAUCUGCAGGAGAUUGAUUUAGUGGACGUUGGGAUCCUGGAGACGGCUCAGCCCCCUGUGCUUGAGGAGGAGGUGAAUCUUCUUCGUAAGAAACUCUCGGGUGCACUCAGGGUUCGCUGAGGACUGGUGGUGACACCCGUGCCCUGUCCCCCUCCAGCGGAAUGAGGAGAUGAUCAUCCCUGGAAGAACCCCCUGAUUUCCCUCAGAGCCCAGGGCCAUUUCCCCUGAAUGAUCAAUAAAUCCCUUCAGCAAAGCUA